UAGUUAGUUUUAAUUCUUUAUUUUUAAGGUUUAUUGUCUUAUACUCGUCCAUUAAUUCAUUGAAGGCAUCAUAUAACUCAUCGAAAGUAAAGUCUAAAUGUGUUCCGGAUGUUACCUCAUUGUCAUUAGCCAUAAAACAAAGGUUGGCCUUCUCUUCUUGUUCCUCAUCCGAUGAUGAUGAUGAUGUGUCGGAGUCCGAUAGGGUGGAGACAAGGACUUUCUUUUUCUUGUACUUGCUCCCCUUCUUCAGCAAAGGACACUCAGCUCUGAAGUGCCCCGGCUUCUUACACUCAUAACAUCCAAUUCCCUCAUUUUCUCUUUUCUUACCUUUAUCCUUGUGAUAGGAAUUUGAGGGGCCUCUCCUUUGAUGAGAGGACUUCUUCCGGUUGAUGAAUCUUCGGAAUUUUCUUACAAGGAGUGCCUCAUCAUCAUCUCCCUCAUUGUCUUCCUCUUCACUGCUACUGCUGCAAGACACAUCUUUGU
rnacentral:lncRNA from 1 species